AAUCCAUAGGUUAAUGAGGCGAACCGGGGGAACUGAAACAUCUAAGUACCCCGAGGAAAAGAAAUCAACCGAGAUUCCCCCAGUAGCGGCGAGCGAACGGGGAGGAGCCCAGAGCCUGAAUCAGCAUGUGUGUUAGUGGAAGCGUCUGGAAAGGCGCGCGAUACAGGGUGACAGCCCCGUACACAAAAGCGCAUGUGCUGUGAGCUCGAUGAGUAGGGCGGGACACGUGGUAUCCUGUCUGAAUAUGGGGGGACCAUCCUCCAAGGCUAAAUACUCCUGACUGACCGAUAGUGAACCAGUACCGUGAGGGAAAGGCGAAA
rnacentral:rRNA from 1 species